UACGGAGGGUGCAAGCGUUGUUCGGAAUUAUUGGGCGUAAAGAGCGUGUAGGCGGUUGGACAAGUCAGAUGUGAAAGCCCUGGGCUUAACUCAGGAAGUGCAUUUGAAACUGUUCAGUUGGAGUAAGGGAGAGGAAAGUGGAAUUCCUGGUGUAGAGGUGAAAUUCGUAGAUAUCAGGAGGAACACCGGUGGCGAAGGCGACUUUCUGGCCCUAUACUGACGCUGAGACGCGAGAGCGUGGGUAGCAAACAGG
rnacentral:rRNA from 1 species